GCGGGAAAACUUACCAGGUCCAGACAUAGUGAGGAUUGACAGAUUGAGAGCUCUUUCUUGAUUCUAUGGGUGGUGGUGCAUGGCCGUUCUUAGUUGGUGGGUUGCCUUGUCAGGUUGAUUCCGGUAACGAACGAGACCUCAGCCUGCUAAAUAGUUACUCCUACUUUGGUAGGAGGCGAACUUCUUAGAGGGACUAUUGGCGUUUAGCUAAUGGAAGUGUGAGGCAAUAA
rnacentral:rRNA from 1 species